CCUGGCAGAAGACACAAAGGCACUUCCUAUUUGAAAGGAUAUAUCUACGACUCAGAAUGACUGACGCGAGUUCCAUGAGUUCUUUGAGUGGAGUAGAGUCGGCGAGCGAGAUGUCGCAAAGCACGGUCGGAGCUGCAGGAGCAGCUCCAACAAGAGAGUGAUAGCAAUAUCCGUUGCUGCGCUGGGCUUGCUGUUGAUAGGUGGGGCUGUCAUAUUUGCUUUCACAGCUUUAUCCGGUGGCGACACUGGCGAUGCUGGCGGCGCUGACGACUCUGCCGGUGGCAGCGACGGAGGGGUACAGUAUGAUCCUCCCAGUGGUGUGGCCUCCGCGGACAGCCCGUCUUCAACAACUUCGUCUACGACAAGUACCACUACAACAAC